ACUAUCUUUCCAAAGCAGAUUCACCUGACGUAACAAUCGUCGUUCCUUCCAGCGAUCCUGAGCAGCCAUUCCUCACCAUUCUACCCUACGCUGCUGAGAAGGCCUGCUUCGUUAUGAAAACGGCUGAGCUCCAAGAGCAGUGCAUCUUGUGGGUGGACGAAGCAAUCAAGGACAACUUCCCUGAGAAAUGCACUCAAGGAUACAAGGCAGCAUGCCCUGACGGAGCUUUGCUUUACAAAACGGGUGCGUGCGAUGCUGUAAACGCAUCUUGAGGACAAGGAAAGUAAUAAAAGGAUUCACUGACUAUGCCUGUG
rnacentral:lncRNA from 1 species